GAUGGGAAACGGCUUAAUAUUCCCGUACUUGGAAUAAUUGCGAUGGGGGGACGGAGCAGGCUAAGCAAGCAUGGCGUUGGUUGUCCAUGUGAAAGUGUGUAGGCUAAUGACUUAGGUAAAUCCGGGUCGUUGUUAGGCUGAGACACGAGACGAGCUACUACGGUAGUGAAGUUGCUGAUGCCUUACUUCCAGGAAAAGCCUCUAAGCUUCAGAUUAUUUCGAAUCGUACCCCAAACCGACACAGGUGGUCAGG
rnacentral:rRNA from 1 species